AACGCGAAGAACCUUACCCAGGUUUGAAAUUCAGGAGACGAUACUAGAGAUAGUAUUUCCCGCAAGGGCUGCUGAGUAGGUGCUGCAUGGCUGUCGUCAGCUCGUGCCGUGAGGUGUUGGGUUAAGUCCCGCAACGAGCGCAACCCUUAUCAUUAGUUGCCAACACGCGAGGUGGGAACUCUAAUGAGACUGCCCGGGUUAACCGGGAGGAAGGUGAGGAUGGACGUCAAGUCCGCAUGGCCUUUAUGUCCUGGGGCUACACACGUGCUACAAUGGUAGGUACAGAAGGCAGCAAAGCCGCAAGGUGGAGCAAAUCCGAAAAGCCUAUCUCAGUUCGGAUUGAGGUCUGCAACUCGACCUCAUGAAGCUGGAAUUGCUAGUAAUGACGUAUCAGCUACGACGUCGUGAAUACGUUCCGGGCCUUGUACACACCGGAGUGC
rnacentral:rRNA from 1 species